rnacentral:rRNA from 1 species
ACGGGAGGCAGCAGUGGGGAAUAUUGGGCAAUGGGCGAAAGCCUGACCCAGCGACGCCGCGUGAAGGAAGAAGGUCUUCGGAUUGUAAACUUCUUUUAUGAGGGACGAAACAAAUGACGGUACCUCAUGAAUAAGCCACGGCUAACUACGUGCCAGCAGCCGCGGUAAUACGUAGGUGGCAAGCGUUAUCCGGAUUUACUGGGUGUAAAGGGCGCGUAGGCGGGAAUGCAAGUCAGAUGUGAAAUCUCUGGGCUCAACCCAGAAACUGCAUUUGAAACUGUAUUUCUUGAGUGCUGGAGAGGUAGAUGGAAUUCCUAGUGUAGCGGUGAAAUGCGUAGAUAUUAGGAGGAACACCAGUGGCGAAGGCGGCUUACUGGACGAUAACUGACGUUGAGGCUCGAAAGCGUGGGGAGCAAACAGGAUUAGAUACCCUGGUA